UUCACUGUGUUAGGUUGGUCUUGAUCUCCUGACCUCGUGAUUCACCCAUCUCAGCCUCCCAAAGUGUUGGGAUUACAGGUGUGAGCCACUGCGCCCGGCCUAUAACUUUUCUAAAUUUCAGGUUUACAGUAUCUUUCCUGUACUUGGAACCAGGAAAAACUUUUUUCUGGUCUCAAACCUUUUCACAGGCCCUUGCAAAGUUCACAGCCCUCGUUUCCAAAUGAAGCACGAUGUGCCCGACAGAUCAAAGGGCCCUGCUCAGCCCAGGAACAGGCAGCUGCCUGUGCUGGGAAAGUCCAGCGUCUAAAAGGUCACAGGUCACACCGUUUGCAGCAGCGUUUUUCACGACGGCCAGAGGGUGGACGAACGUGUUACGUAACCCGUGCCCUGAAUGUGUCCCAGGAGGAAGACGCUCAUCUCCCCGCAUGAGAGGCUGAGUGUAGGCGUCUGGACAGGGGCCAGUCCCACGUGGCUACUGACUCCGGACCACAAAGAAGCUGGAAGCCGCAGCUCCACCUCUGCAGCCAAUUGCUGGGACAGUCAGGGCUUGAUUUCUUUGUGUUCUGCCCCCACUUCCAACUCAGGACCAACCAGAGGACGCCAAACAUGUCCCCUCACCAACCACCGGACACCUCACUCUCCAUCAGCCGCCCCUGCCUUCCCCACACCACCACCACGACCCUAAUCAGCGGACCUGUGCCCCGCCCCCUGCCUGCCGAUCUCAGGGUGGGGCGCUCCCAAGCUCUGAACUCAGAGCCUGGCCUUGCUCUCGUCUGGGUGGUCUUUAUUUAUCUCUACAUGCAUCUGCUUAUGCAGUAAACAUGUAAUGGGCUG